GGCCAGACUCCUACGGGAGGCAGCAGUGGGGAAUAUUGCACAAUGGGGGAAACCCUGAUGCAGCGACGCCGCGUGAGUGAAGAAGUAUUUCGGUAUGUAAAGCUCUAUCAGCAGGGAAGAAAAUGACGGUACCUGACUAAGAAGCCCCGGCUAACUACGUGCCAGCAGCCGCGGUAAUACGUAGGGGGCAAGCGUUAUCCGGAUUUACUGGGUGUAAAGGGAGCGUAGACGGCAUGGCAAGUCAGAUGUGAAAGCCCGGGGCUCAACCCCGGGACUGCAUUUGAAACUGUCAGGCUGGAGUGCAGGAGAGGUAAGUGGAAUUCCUAGUGUAGCGGUGAAAUGCGUAGAUAUUAGGAGGAACACCAGUGGCGAAGGCGGCUUACUGGACUGUAACUGACGUUGAGGCUCGAAAGCGUGGGGAGCAAACAGGAUUAGAUACCCGCGUAAA
rnacentral:rRNA from 1 species